GGUUAAGCGACUAAGCGUACACGGUGGAUGCCCUGGCAGUCAGAGGCGAUGAAGGACGUGCUAAUCUGCGAAAAGCGUCGGUAAGGUGAUAUGAACCGUUAUAGCCGGCGAUGUCCGAAUGGGGAAACCCAGUGCAAUUCGUUGCACUAUCGUUAACUGAAUACAUAGGUUAACGAGGCGAACCGGGGGAACUGAAACAUCUAAGUACCCCGAGGAAAAGAAAUCAACCGAGAUUCCCCCAGUAGCGGCGAGCGAACGGGGAGCAGCCCAGAGUCUGAAUCAGCUUGUGUGUUAGUGGAACGGUCUGGAAAGUCCGACGGUACAGGGUGAUAGUCCCGUACACCAAAAUGCACAGGCUGUGAACUCGAAGAGUAGGGCGGGACACGUGGUAUCCUGUCUGAAUAUGGGGGGACCAUCCUCCAAGGCUAAAUACUCCUGACUGACCGAUAGUGAACCAGUACCGUGAGGGAAAGGCGAAAAGAACCCCGGCGAGGGGAGUGAAAAAGAACCUGAAACCGUGUACGUACAAGCAGUGGGAGCACCUUCGGGUGUGACUGCGUACCUUUUGUAUAAUGGGUCAGCGACUUAUAUUCUGUAGCAAGGUUAACCGUAUAGGGGAGCCGCAGGGAAACCGAGUCUUAACUGGGCGUUAAGUUGCAGGGUAUAGACCCGAAACCCGGUGAUCUAGCCAUGGGCAGGUUGAAGGUUGGGUAACACUAACUGGAGGACCGAACCGACUAAUGUUGAAAAAUUAGCGGAUGACUUGUGGCUGGGGGUGAAAGGCCAAUCAAACCGGGAGAUAGCUGGUUCUCCCCGAAAGCUAUUUAGGUAGCGCCUCGUGAAUUCAUCUUCGGGGGUAGAGCACUGUUUCGGCUAGGGGGUCAUCCCGACUUACCAACCCGAUGCAAACUACGAAUACCGAAGAAUGUUAUCACGGGAGACACACGGCGGGUGCUAACGUCCGUCGUGAAGAGGGAAACAACCCAGACCGCCAGCUAAGGUCCCAAAGUCAUGGUUAAGUGGGAAACGAUGUGGGAAGGCACAGACAGCCAGGAUGUUGGCUUAGAAGCAGCCAUCAUUUAAAGAAAGCGUAAUAGCUCACUGGUCGAGUCGGCCUGCGCGGAAGAUGUAACGGGGCUAAACCAUGCACCGAAGCUGCGGCAGCGACACUAUGUGUUGUUGGGUAGGGGAGCGUUCUGUAAGCCUGCGAAGGUGACCUGUGAGGGUUGCUGGAGGUAUCAGAAGUGCGAAUGCUGACAUAAGUAACGAUAAAGCGGGUGAAAAGCCCGCUCGCCGGAAGACCAAGGGUUCCUGUCCAACGUUAAUCGGGGCAGGGUGAGUCGACCCCUAAGGCGAGGCCGAAAGGCGUAGUCGAUGGGAAACAGGUUAAUAUUCCUGUACUUGGUGUUACUGCGAAGGGGGGACGGAGAAGGCUAUGUUAGCCGGGCGACGGUUGUCCCGGUUUAAGCAUGUAGGCUG
rnacentral:rRNA from 1 species